rnacentral:rRNA from 1 species
GACGAACCGUGCGAACGUUGUCCGGAAUCACUGGGCGUAAAGCGCACGUAGGCGGCUUUGUAAGUUAGAGGUGAAAGCCCAGGGCUCAACCCUGGAAUUGCCUUUAAGACUGCAUCGCUUGAACAUCGGAGAGGUAAGUGGAAUUCCGAGUGUAGAGGUGAAAUUCGUAGAUAUUCGGAAGAACACCAGUGGCGAAGGCGACUUACUGGACGAUUGUUGACGCUGAGGUGCGAAAGCGUGGGGAGCAAACAGG